rnacentral:rRNA from 1 species
UACGGAAGGCAGCAGUGGGGAAUAUUGCACAAUGGGCGAAAGCCUGAUGCAGCUAUGCCGCGUGUAUGAAGAAGGCCUUAGGGUUGUAAAGUACUUUCAUCGGGGAGGAAAAAACCAAAACUAAUAAUUUUAUUUCUUGACGUUACCCGAAAAACGAAGCACCGGCUAACUCCGUGCCAGCAGCCGCGGUAAUACGGAGGGUGCUAGCGUUAAUCAGAAUUACUGGGCGUAAACGAGCACGUAGGUGGUUUUUUUAAAGUCAGAUGUGAAAUCCCUGGGCUUAACCUAGGAACUGCAUUUUGAAACUGAAAUACUAGAGUAUCGUAGAGGGAGGUAGAAUUCUAGGUGUAGCGGUGAAACUGCGUAGAUAUCUGGAGGAAUACCUGUGGCGAAAGCGGCCUCCUAAACCGGAAUACUGACACUGAGGUGCGAAAGCGUGGGGAACAAACCAGGGAUUAGAUACC